rnacentral:lncRNA from 10 species
AUAAGUAGUGUCUGUUGACUGGUUGGGCUGGAAUCUGGCAUUAGUGCUUCCUUUAAGUGAUAGAUCCUAAAUUUUGGUUCUCUUUUACGGGCUUUUUGGUGGCUAUUUUAGAGAUAGCUCCAUUCCCACUUUUCCUUGUUUUCUUAAUACGAAGAAUUCUCUUUGUUGGAUCAGAGACACCAUUUCUGAAUCUGGCAACUCUAAACCUGAACUCCGCAUAUCAGAAUUGCCUACCUUCAGUGUUAUAUCCCACAGGAAGAUUACAUCAUUUGAAGUGAUACUGCAGAAGAAAAAUCCAAGCAAAGCAUGGUGACUCUGAGGAGGCCAGGGAUCCAGGCUCACUUACCAGGAUCAAGAUGCUUUUGGAGAGCUGGAUACUCCUAGACUGUGGUCAAUUGGCUUUAGAUGGAGGAAUUGUGUGAGUGUGAUUGGAGUUGGAUUACCAUGAGACCAAAUGCUGUGAAGCAAAUAGAGAGGAAGGUCCAGGAGGCAAGAGAAGUCAAGAGGAUAUUAAGGAGGUGAGGACUACAUAGUAAAGACAUUUCUGGAAAGAUCUGAAAUCCUGACAUUGACCCGUCAUGGCCACUGGAUGUCACUAAGACCAAUAAUAUGGAUGUGAGCCAAAAUGUUCAUGAAAGAUUACAUACUAGUAUUUCAUUUUAUUUCAGAUUUAUUCUCCACACCAGAAAAUUCAAAAUCUUACAAGAUACAAUUGAUUUAUAAGGAGCAGAGACAGGAAAAAUAGACAUAUAUCACAAUGAUGGUAAAAAAUAAAAUGGUAAUAGAAAAAGGAAGACAUGGAUUAUAACAAAUUUCAGCAUGACUCCAAUAGCUAAGUUUACUGUAGUAGGCACCCAUUUGUCUUAAUUAAUGGAGCUAAAACUAACUGGAAUCCAAGUUGUUAUGCUUAAUGCAGAAUCCAAACUUAAAAUGCGCCUUAUAUCAAUUAUUAGUUCUUAUCUUAUUUUCUUAAACAGGGUUAAGCGCUUUUCAGUUUCUGUCUGUAAUGGGUUGAAUUCAUAUGGUGAUGCCCUAACUCCUUGCGCUUAAGAAUGUGAUUUUAUGUGUAGACAGGGUCUUUACAGAGGUCAGGUUAAAAUAAGGUCAUGAGUGUAGACUUUAAUCCAAUAUGACUGGUGUUUUCAUAAAAAGAGAAAUUUGGACACAGAGAUAUACAUUGAAGGGAGACCUGAUGAGGAGAAGGAGGAGAAAAUGACUAUGUGUAAACCAACAAGCCAAGCCUGGAAUGGAUGCUGCCCUCACAGCCUUCAGAAGAAACCAUGUAAUUCCCCUCACUACCUUGUUCAGUAGUUAUGGUUUCCUCCUUUAUUCAGGUAAGGUUUACAGAUAAGUGAAUUAUAAAAGGAAGACUUUAUCUAAAUUCAAAACCUAUACUCUUUUCAUAACCACAAUGUAUAACUCUUUUUCUCUACUAUUAGACUUAAAAUAAACAUCUACAUUUUUAUAAAUAUGUAACAUUAACUUUAAUUAUACUGCUGUUACAAAAACUUUUUUCUUGCAUUUCUAAUUUUAAUAGCAAUGUAAAUUUUAAGCAAUAAUUCUAAACACAUUUAAGUCAUAAUCCAAACAUAUAUAUUAUUGUUCCAAAUAAAAUUUCAAAUAUAUUAUGUAGAAGAUAUUUUCUACGUGUUUGUAACAGCAAUAAUUUGGACUAAUAGAAUUUCAAUAAGCUUGAUGUGGUGGCUCAUGCUAUAAUCUCAGUGAGCUGGGAGGCUAAAAGGUGAGGAUUGCUUGAGGCCAGGAAUUCAGAACAGAUGGGGUAUGUGACAAGACCCUGUUCAUACAAAAAUACAAAAAUUAACUGGAUGUGGUGACACACACCUGUAGUCCUAGCUACUCAGGAGGCUGAGGUGGGAGGAUGGCUUGGGCCCAGGAGUUUGAGGUUACAGCGAACCAUGAUUGUGCCACCGUACUCCAGCCUGGAAGAAAGAGACCCUGUGUCAAUCAAUCAAUCAAUCCAUAAAAUUGGGAAAAUGAUGCAAUAUUUUUAAAAAUCAAGCACACAGCAAUGAGAAGGUUAGUUGAUGAUAGAAGUUGCUAGUAUGCCAAGACCAGCUCAGUCGUGGAGACCCUAACCCAGUGGCACUAGAGGAAUUAAAGACACACACACAGAAAUAUAGAGGUAUGGAGUAGGAAAUCAGGGGUUUAAGCCUUCAGAACUGAGAGCCUCAAACAGAGAUUUACCUGCAUAUUUAUUGACAGCAAGCCAGUGAUAAGCAUUGUUUCUAUAGAUUAUCAAUUAACUAAAAGUAUUCCUUACAGGAAACAAAGGGAUGGGCCGAAAUAAAGGGACGGGCUCUGGCUAGUUAUCUGCAUCAGGAGCAUGUCCUUAAGGCACAGAUUGCUUAUGCUAUUGUUUGUGGUUUAGGAACGCCUUAAGUGGUUUUCCGCCCUGGGUGGGCCAGGUAUUCCUUGCCCUCAUUCUGGUAAACCCACAACCUUCCAGCAUGGGCAUCAUGGCCAUCACGAGCAUGUCGCAGUGCCACAGAGAUUUUGUUUAUGGCCAGUUGGGGGCCAGUUUAUGGCCAGAUUUGGGGGCCUGUUCCCAACCCUAGUAUAAUAUAGUAUUUUAUUCUUUAAGGAUGUCAGAUUCACAUCUUAGAGUGGGAAAAAAUAAAAUGAUGCCUAGGAAGUGAAUUGUAUGCCACCAUAGGAUACACAAAUGUGACCAUUACUAUUUCUGAUAUAAUAGAUUAAAAACCUUCUCUAUAAGUUAUUAACAAUAAGACAUAAAUAUUCUUGUGUCUCUGGGCUUCCAUUAAAAAACAAAACAAAAUAAUGAUUCUAAUGACCAGAAUUAUACUUACUAGAAAAAGAUUGAUAUGAUAUUGCAGGAAAUGCAAACAGUUCUGCCUUUGCAAUUUUACUGCUUACUCUGCCACCUGUUACUAACUCUGAUGCCAGCCAACUAAGCUUAUGCCAAUGCUCAAUACACAUCUCAGACUUUUCUUGCAAUGACAACAAAUUUGAAAGCAUCUGUGUGCUUUUUUUUUUUUAAAAGUAACAUUUUGGUCUUAAAGGAAGAUUUAGCAAAGGCUUGAAAUCAUAAGUCAACAUGGUCAUUUAUGUAUGUCUUUGCAUUUAUAUGCGGUUUUUGAUAAAAGUUAAACAACCUAAAUGGAACACAGAUAAUUUUGCUUAGAAAUUCUUAAAAUUGUUUUCACUGAUAAGAACACCUGAGGUUUUCUGAUCUGCAAGGUUAUCUUCUGUCUUAUGUUAAUCUGAUAUUGUUGGUUUUUAACAAGUUUGUCUCCUAUUUACUGUAAUUGGUAGAUGAUAAUUACUGACACCUUUCUACUUUUGCGAUUUUUUAAUAAAAGUAAAUACAAAUGAAAUCCGUAAAACUUUGCUCAGAUCCAC